rnacentral:rRNA from 1 species
GACGAACGCUGGCGGCGGGCCUAAUACAUGCAAGUCGAACGAGGUGAGGACGAGUGAGUACACGUUGGUAACCUACCCCUCAGAGGGGGAUAACACUUGGAAACAUGUGCUAAUACGGCAUACGCUAUGAUGGACCCGUGGUGCAUUAGCUAGUAGGUGGGGUAAAGGCUUACCUAGGCGACGAUCCGUAACUGGUCUGAGAGGAUGAUCAGCCACACUGGAACGGAGACACGGUCCAGACUCCUACGGGAGGCAGCAGUGGGGAAUAUUGCACAAUGGGCGCAAGCCUGAUGCAGCCAUGCCGCGUGUGUGAAGAAGGCCUUCGGGUUGUAAAGCACUUUCAGCGAGGAGGCGUUACCCGCAGAAGAAGCACCGGCUAACUCCGUGCCAGCAGCCGCGGUAAUUC